UACGGAGGGUGCAAACGUUGCUCGGAAUCAUUGGGCGUAAAGAGCUCGUAGGCGGUUUGUUGCGUCUAUCGUGAAAACCUGCAGCUUAACUGUGGGCUUGCGGUGGAUACGGGCAGACUUGAGUUCGGUAGGGGAGACUGGAAUUCCUGGUGUAGCGGUGAAAUGCGCAGAUAUCAGGAGGAACACCGAUGGCGAAGGCAGGUCUCUGGGCCAUAACUGACGCUGAGAAGCGAAAGCAUGGGGAGCGAACAGG
rnacentral:rRNA from 1 species